rnacentral:misc_RNA from 1 species
GAAAUGCGAUACGCAAUGCGAAUUGCAGAAUUCCGCGAGUCAUCAGAUCUUUGAACGCAGCCGGCGCUGGCGGGCUCUCCCACCAGCAUGUUUGUUUCAGUGUGUUUGGUUGACUUCAUACAACUCAAUGCGAUUGAGAAGCGUUUACUCGCUUUUCUCUCGUGAAAGAGGAGUGCGCGCGGCUCGCAUCCGCCGACGAAGUGGUCACUGUUUACAGUGAUUUCGUUGGAAUCACAGAUGCAGGCCAAUUAAACCGCGCAUUUUUAACCAAAACUCUUCAAUCGGCACCUGAAAUCAAGCAAGAUUACCCGCUGAACUUAA